GGUUGAAGCAUAUGAUCAAACUCCGCUUUGGCUACCUUGGCGCACAAAUACGCCAUCGUACGCCUCCGGAAGUUCCUCGGGAGUGGUACACAGGGAGCCGCAGUCGAGGAACCUAUGUUGGAAGAAAGAAGCAGGUCAUGCCCAAGUAGGGUGUGCACGAAUAGCAAACAGUGUGGUCCAAACUGUGUCUGCAAGAUGUCCAGUGGCUUUCCCCGUUUUCCCAUGUGCCGGAAGGCAUAG